rnacentral:sRNA from 1 species
GAAUGUGAGGGCAUCUGCCACCGCACUGAUUGCCACGGCUGAUUCGGCUGAUCUGGUUGGCUGGGUGGGUGUCCCCUUCCCCCUCACAGCUCCCUGGGUGUCCCUCCCGAAACUGCAUGCUCUGUUGAGGAGGACGACCUUCUCUGAUAGGAAGAGGACUGUCCUUCAGUCAGGGGUGUACGAAUAGCUGCCCUGCCCUGCUGGAACCUCCAAACAAGACAUUCAUCCCACCGCCAUAUGUCUUUAACUCUUGGGGCACACCCUUUCCAUGGAAAUUGUUGGGUCAUGUUGAACUUUUGAUAAGUU